rnacentral:rRNA from 1 species
AUUGAACGCUGGCGGAAUGCCUUACACAUGCAAGUCGAACGGCAGCACGGGGGCAACCCUGGUGGCGAGUGGCGAACGGGUGAGUAAUACAUCGGAACGUGCCCGGUCGUGGGGGAUAACGUAGCGAAAGUUACGCUAAUACCGCAUACGAUCUGAGGAUGAAAGCGGGGGACCUUCGGGCCUCGCGCGAUCGGAGCGGCCGAUGUCAGAUUAGGUAGUUGGUGGGGUAAAGGCCUACCAAGCCGACGAUCUGUAGCUGGUCUGAGGGGACGACCAGCCACACUGGGACUGAGACACGGCCCAGACUCCUACGGGAGGCAGCAGUGGGGAAUUUUGGACAAUGGGCGCAAGCCUGAUCCAGCCAUUCCGCGUGCAGGACGAAGGCCUUCGGGUUGUAAACUGCUUUUGUAUGGAACGAAAAGGCUCUGGCUAAUACCUGGGGCUCAUGACGGUACCGUAAGAAUAAGCACCGGCUAACUACGUG